rnacentral:rRNA from 1 species
UACAGAGGUCUCAAGCGUUGUUCGGAUUUCAUUGGGCGUAAAGGGUGUGUAGGUGGCGCGCUAAGUCGGGUGUGAAAUUUCGGAGCUUAACUCCGAAACUGCAUUCGAUAACUGGCGUGCUUGAGGACUGGAGAGGAGACUGGAAUUUACGGUGUAGCAGUGAAAUGCGUAGAUAUCGUAAGGAAGACCAGUGGCGAAGGCGGGUCUCUGGACAGUUCUGACACUGAGACACGAAGGCCAGGGGAGGCAAAACGGGG